UCACGCCUCACGCCUCUGUGUCUCUUCUCUCUUACGCCUCACGCCUCACGCCUCUACCCUCAUCUCUGCUACUGGAGCAUCACCGCAAUGGUUAGACGAGCACAACGCAAGGGUUAGGCGAGAACACCGUAAGGGUUAGCACCACCGUCGCUUUGUCUUGGGCUUCACUAUGCACAGCAACUGUUUUCUGCUUGUCAAAAGCUUGUGAAAGAAAAGUGCUAGCAUGCCAAGCAGGACUUGAUGUCAGUAAAUGAACAAGUUAAUAGUGUGAAAGAGUAUGCAAUGAAGAUGGAAAGUGCUAGUGUUUCGUGGAAGAGAAACUUUAUCACUGAUUCGCUGGUACCAAAGAAACCGAAGGAGACACCGAGGCCUUGCAAGGCGACACUCAACCUUGGUUAGCUUGAAGAGUGCCCAAGUUCCAUGAACCAUUUCUUAAAAAUUCUAGUUUUUCUCUAGUUUUCUUUUUAUAUUUGUGUCAUUUCGGUUAUGUACUAAGACUAAGUUGUAAUGUAAGAACUUUAAAUUCUGGGUUUUUAAUUAAUGGAUGUUAGUAACCUUGGUGGCAAUAUUGAUUUUAAGUUUCUAAAUCUUAUUAUAAUGUCCUUAAAUUUGGGGCGUCACAGUAUGGUAUCAGAGCUUAGGUUGAGAAACCCUUGAGACCUUGCGAAACCGUAAGCUUGCUUGUUAAAUAACUUAUUAGUGGUUAAAGUGAGCAUUUUUAGUUACUAAGUAAAAUUUUUAUCUUUGUAGAUGGCAAACGAAAAUCAAAAUGAAUGGUUGGAGGAAGAACCUGAGAUGUUAGAUGAGCCUAUUGACUGGGAAGAGGACCCAGAGGAAGAGCCAGAAGAGAACUUGGAAUUAGAGGAAGAACUUGAGAUGUUAGAUGAGCCUAGUGACUGGGAAGAUGAUCCAGAGGAGGACCUAGAAGAAGAGCCAGAAGAGAACUUGGAAGAAGAGUUUGAAGUAGGAGUUGAGGGUGACUCCGAUCCUGAGUCUGACUCUGAUCAGGAAAUGAUGGAGUCUAAUCCUGAAUCCUCGAUAGAGGACGGACCUGAGGCGGCCCUGAGGCGACCUUGAGGCAUAUAAUGGUGCCACCCAUCCUGCCAUAUGGA